AGUUAUGAGAAAUAGUAGAAGCUAGGCUUAGAAAACAGGUGAAGAUCUGUGAGCAGCAAUAUAGCUUCAUGGUGAGAAAGAGCACUACAGAUGCAAUGUUUGCUCUGAGAAUACUGAUGGAGAAAUAUAGAGAAGGACAGAAGGGGCACUACAGAUGCAAAGU